rnacentral:rRNA from 1 species
GACGAACCGUGCGAACGUUAUUCGGAAUCACUGGGCUUAAAGGGCGCGUAGGCGGAUUUGCAAGUCUGUGGUGAAAUCCUCCAGCUUAACUGGAGAAGUGCCAUGGAUACUGCGAGUCUCGAGGAAGGUAGGGGCAUCUGGAACUGCCGGUGGAGCGGUGAAAUGCGUUGAUAUCGGCAGGAACUCCGGUGGCGAAGGCGAGAUGCUGGAUCUUUUCUGACGCUGAGGCGCGAAAGCCAGGGGAGCAAACGGGAUUAGAUACCCCGGUAGUCCUGGCCCUAAACGAUGAGAACUAGAUAGCGAGGGUGACAUGCCCCCGCUGUCGGAGCAAAAGUGUUAAGUUCUCCGCCUGGGGAGUAUGGUCGCAAGGCUGAA